rnacentral:rRNA from 1 species
GACGAACGCUGGCGGCGUGCUUAACACAUGCAAGUCGAACGGAAAGGCCCUUCGGGGUACUCGAGUGGCGAACGGGUGAGUAACACGUGGGUGAUCUGCCCUGCACUUUGGGAUAAGCCUGGGAAACUGGGUCUAAUACCGAAUAGGCCCACGCGCUUCAUGGUGUGUGGUGGAAAGCUUUUGCGGUGUGGGAUGGGCCCGCGGCCUAUCAGCUUGUUGGUGGGGUAAUGGCCUACCAAGGCGACGACGGGUAGCCGGCCUGAGAGGGUGACCGGCCACACUGGGACUGAGAUACGGCCCAGACUCCUACGGGAGGCAGCAGUGGGGAAUAUUGCACAAUGGGCGCAAGCCUGAUGCAGCGACGCCGCGUGAGGGAUGACGGCCUUCGGGUUGUAAACCUCUUUCACCAGGGACGAAGCGUAAGUGACGGUACCUGGAGAAGAAGCACCGGCCAACUACGUG